rnacentral:rRNA from 1 species
UACGGAGGAUGCAAGCGUUAUCCGGAUUUAUUGGGUUUAAAGGGUGCGCAGGUUGUUUGAUAAGUCGGUGGUGAAAGUCUGUCGCUUAACGGUAGGAUUGCCAUUGAUACUGUUAGACUUGAAUAUGGAUGAGGUAGGCGGAAUGUGUAGUGUAGCGGUGAAAUGCAUAGAUAUUACACAGAACACCGAUUGCGAAGGCAGCUUACUAAUCCAUCAUUGACGCUGAGGCACGAAAGCGUGGGGAUCAAACAGGA